UAUUGUACCUUUCAAGUUUGCAACGUCGAAUAAAUAAAUAAAUAAACCUCGUGAUCUCUUUUGUCCAGUCAGAUCACCUCUUACAAACUGUCCUGACUUAAAUCUGUGAUCAUGUGAGCUAGCAUCAGAAUAGUGUGGUGAAUAUGGUGUUCGUUCUGAUGCCGACUCGCAGCUCAGAUCGGUUGCUUCUCACGUCAUGCAAUUCUUGUUUUGAGAUUCGGUUGGUGAAUACGGCCGUUAGAGUAUUUGCUAGUCUGAAUAUAAGACAUUUGGAAUGGAAAAAAUUUAUCAGAUUUAAUGAAUCCAAAAUAAAUAUAAUAGAAAUUAUAAGUGAAAAAAUCUUUUUCACAUUUGCAUAUAAUAAAGAAC
rnacentral:lncRNA from 1 species